AGAGUUUGAUCCUGGCUCAGAACGAACGCUGGCGGCGUGCCUAAUACAUGCAAGUCGAACGAGAAAGUGGCUUCGGCCAUGAGUAAAGUGGCAGACGGGUGAGUAAUACAUAGGUAACCUACCUCCAAGAUGGGGACAACCUUCCGAAAGGAGGGCUAAUACCGAAUGAGACUACAUUGACUCCGGUCAGAGUGGUCAAA
rnacentral:rRNA from 1 species